UACGUAGGGACCAAGCGUUGUUCGGAUUUACUGGGCGUAAAGGGCGCGUAGGCGGCGUGACAAGUCACUUGUGAAAUCUCCGGGCUUAACCCGGAACUGCCAAGUGAUACUGUCGUGCUAGAGUGCGGAAGGGGCAAUCGGAAUUCUCGGUGUAGCGGUGAAAUGCGUAGAUAUCGAUAGGAACUCCGGUGGCGAAGGCGGCAUACUGGACCACAUCUGACGCUGAGGCGCGAAAGCCAGGGGAGCAAACGGG
rnacentral:rRNA from 1 species